UUCAGUUCAGCAUCUCAGAGAGUUUAUUAGAGAGAGACUAACUGCUGCUGCUCAAGAAAUCUUCACCGAGGUUGAAAAAACCAUCAUUUGCUACGAGGAAGAGCUCGAUGCUCAGCGCAGAAUGAUGGGGAUCAACUGGAAACCAGAAAUUAAGCUACACAGAAUCGGUUCGGAGCUGCAGAGACAAAGUUCUGGUGGAACUUCUGGAUGCAGCGCCGGACCAGGUCUUCCCAGCCCGGUUUCAUAGAUGCCCGAAGCACACUGGUGUCCAGAGAGGUGAUCUUACCUGAACAGAUGCAAACAGUGCAA